rnacentral:rRNA from 1 species
GGCGGCCGCGACGGCACCAUCAUAAGCACGGAGCGGCUCAACCGGGUGGUAAGCGUCGAGGUCGCCAAGGGGCUUAUGACGGUGGAAAGCGGCAUGGUGCUCCGCGACCUGAUCCAGGCCGCCGCCGAGGCAGGGCUCGCGCUGCCGCACUCGCCCUACUGGUCAGGGCUCACCAUCGGAGGCCUGCUGGCCACGGGCGCGCACGGCAGUUCGCUCAAGGGUAAGGGCGGCGCCGUGCACGAGUAUGUGGUUGGGAUGAGGAUCGUCACGCCGGCGCCCAAGAGCCAAGGGUUCGCGGUGGUACGGGAGCUCUGCGCCGACCAUCCCGACCUCGACGCGGCCAAGGUUUCCCUCGGCGUCCUGGGCGUCGUUUCCCAGGUUACACUGGCCUUGGAGCCGAUGUUCAAGCGGUCGGUGACGUUCGUGACACGCGAUGACUCUGACAUGGCAGAGCAGGCCGUUGUGUGGGGUGGCCUCCACGAAUUUGGCGAUAUGGUGUGGCUGCCACAGCAGCGCAAUGUGAUUUACCGCAAGGACGAUCGUGUGGCCAUCACGUCAGUGGGUAACGGCCUCAAUGACUACCUAGCCUUCCGCUCCACUGCGACGGCCGACCUCAUCAGCGGCAGAGUCAUGCAGGAGCUUCUCGAGAAGAAGAACAACACCGUCGCUCGGUGCAAGGAGGCACCCACGUCAGUAUCGUUGUUUGAGAAGGCAGCAUAUGGCACAAACAACGGCAGCUUAUUCAUGGGGUACCCAGUGGUAGGAUUCCAGCACCGCAUCCAAGCGUCCGGUUCGUGUCUCGACAGCCCAGAAGAUGCACUCCUCACCACGUGUCCGUGGGACCCCCGCAUCCGGGGAAUCUUCUUCUACAAUAAUGCCUACAUCAUCACGCUCUCCAGGGUAUCAGCAUUCAUCGCCGACAUGAAGCAGCUCCGUAACAGCAACCCGAAGGCCUUCUGCGGAAUCGACGCCGGUUUGGGUAUUCUCCUCCGCUAUAUCAAGGCAUCUUCUGCCUACCUCGGCAAGCCGGAGGACUCGAUCGACUUUGAUAUUACCUACUACCGGAGUUACACCAAGGGUGAGCCCAAUCCAUACUCUGGUGUGCUCGACGAGCUCCAACAGAUGGCGCUACGCAAAUAUGGCGCCAUCCCUCACUGGGGCAAAAACCGCAACUUUGCCUUUGAAGGUGUCAUUGCCAAGUACCCCGAGGCCGACAAGUUCCUAGAGGUGAAGGGAAGGUACGAUCCUGAUGGGAUCUUCUCCAGCGAAUGGAGUGACCAGGUGCUCGGCAUUAAUGGGAGCUCGAUAAUUGUCGAGAAGGGUUGCGCCAUUGAGGGGCUUUGCAUCUGUUCAGAAGACUCGCAUUGUGCACCGGAGCAGGGUUACUACUGCCGCCCUGGGAAGGUGUACACGGAGGCGAGGGUCUGCUCGUUCCAACACAUCUGA